AUUGAACUCUGGCGGCAGGCCUAACACAUGCAAGUCGAGAGAGCGGAGGACGGGUGAGGAAAGUAUGGGGAAUGCCCGAUAGAGGGGGAUAACAACUGGAAACGGUAGCUAAUACCGCAUACUAUCGGAUAAACCAUAUGGGAUGAGCUAGUAGGUGAGGUAAUGGCUCACCCAGGCGACGAUCCCUAGCUGGUCUGAGAGGAUGAUCAGCCACACUGGGACUGAGACACGGCCCAGACUCCUACGGAGGCAGCAGUGGGGAAUAUUGCACAAUGGGCGCAAGCCUGAUGCAGCCAUGCCGCGUGUAUGAAGAAGGCCCUAGGGUUGUAAAGUACUUUCAGUCGGGAGGCGUUACCGGCAGAAGAAGCACCGGCUAACUCCGUGCCAGCAGCCGCGGUAAUUC
rnacentral:rRNA from 1 species